UUUAUACGUCGAAUUUUGGUCGCGUCGAAUGCAAUUGAGACAAUAGAUAAUGAGAUGAUAAAACUCAUUAAGCUUCAUUAUCUAUUGUUUGAAUUGCAUUCGACGCGACCAAAAUUCGACGUAUAAA
rnacentral:miRNA from 1 species